rnacentral:tRNA from 1 species
AGGAUUGUUGUAAGUAUUAGACACCUGACUCAUAAUCAGGUGGUCGCAGGUUCGAGCCCUGCUGGGCCCC